rnacentral:rRNA from 1 species
CCUACGGGAGGCAGCAGUGGGGGAUAUUGGACAAUGGGGGGAACCCUGAUCCAGCGACGCAGCGUGAGUGAAGAAGUAUUUCGGUAUGUAAAGCUCUGUCAGCAGGGAAGAAAGAAAUGACGGUACCUGAUCAAGAAGCCCCGGCUAACUACGUGACAGCAGCCGCGGUAAUACGUAGGGGGCAAGCGUUAUCCGGAAUUACUGGGUGUAAAGGGAGCGUAGACGGUUAAGUAAGUCUGUGGUGAAAGGACGCGGCCCAACCCCGAGACUGCAAUGGAAACUAUUAAACUUGAGUGCAGGGGAGGUAAGCGGAAUUCCUAGUGUAGCGGUGAAAUGCGUAGAUAUUAGGAGGAACACCAGUGGCGAAGGCAGCUUACUAGACUGUAACUGACGUUGAGGCUCGAAAGCGUGGGGAGCAAACAGGAUUAGAUACUCUUGUAGUC